UUCCUACGGGCGGCUGCAGUGGGGAAUCUUAGACAAUGGGGGCAACCCUGAUCUAGCCAUGCCGCGUGAGUGAUGAAGGCCCUAGGGUUGUAAAGCUCUUUCAGCUGGGAAGAUAAUGACGGUACCAGCAGAAGAAGCCCCGGCUAACUCCGUGCCAGCAGCCGCGGUAAUACGGAGGGGGCUAGCGUUGUUCGGAAUUACUGGGCGUAAAGCGCGCGUAGGCGGACUGGAAAGUUGGGGGUGAAAUCCCGGGGCUCAACCUCGGAACUGCCUCCAAAACUAUCAGUCUGGAGUUCGAGAGAGGUGAGUGGAAUUCCGAGUGUAGAGGUGAAAUUCGUAGAUAUUCGGAGGAACACCAGUGGCGAAGGCGGCUCACUGGCUCGAUACUGACGCUGAGGUGCGAAAGCGUGGGGAGCAAACAGGAUUAGAUACCCUUGUAGUCU
rnacentral:rRNA from 1 species